rnacentral:rRNA from 1 species
UACGUAGGGUGCUAGCGUUGUUCGGAAUCAUUGGGUGUAAAGCGCGUGUAGGCGGUCAAUUAAGUCGGGUGUGAAAUCCCUCGGCUCAACCGGGGAAGUGCAUUCGAAACUAAUUGGCUGGAGAGUGGUAGAGGAAGGUGGAAUUCCAAGUGUAGAGGUGAAAUUCGUAGAUAUUUGGAGGAAUACCGGCGGCGAAGGCGGCCUUCUGGACCAUUUCUGACGCUGAGACGCGAAAGCGUGGGGAGCAAACAGG